rnacentral:lncRNA from 1 species
GACGACCUCGCCACCUUCUGAAUAAUUACACUAACAUCCUCAGAAUCCAAGAGAUGAACUCUGAGAUUAGCCAAACCGUAAAUAUCCUUCACCAAGUCCCACAUCUCCUCAUCCACAUGAGAUAAGCUUCCCAUGGACAAUCGUCUAAGAGCAUCAACAACCACAUUAACUUUACCUAGGUGAUAGUAAGGGCUCAUGUCAUAGUACUUUAGAAACUCAAGCCACCUCCUUUUCCUAAG